CCUACGGGAGGCUGCAGUGGGGAAUAUUGCACAAUGGGCGCAAGCCUGAUGCAGCCAUGCCGCGUGUGUGAAGAAGGCCUUCGGGUUGUAAAGCACUUUCAGCGGGGAGGAAGGCGUUAAGGUUAAUAACCUUGUCGAUUGACGUUACCCGCAGAAGAAGCACCGGCUAACUCCGUGCCAGCAGCCGCGGUAAUACGGAGGGUGCAAGCGUUAAUCGGAAUUACUGGGCGUAAAGCGCACGCAGGCGGUCUGUCAAGUCGGAUGUGAAAUCCCCGGGCUCAACCUGGGAACUACAUUCGAAACUGGCAGGCUAGAGUCUUGUAGAGGGGGGUAGAAUUCCAGGUGUAGCGGUGAAAUGCGUAGAGAUCUGGAGGAAUACCGGUGGCGAAGGCGGCCCCCUGGACAAAGACUGACGCUCAGGUGCGAAAGCGUGGGGAGCAAACAGGAUUAGAUACCCCUGUAGUC
rnacentral:rRNA from 1 species